UGGCGGGACGGGGUGGAGUAAUGUCUGGGAAACUGCCUGAUGGAGGGGGAUAACUACUGGAAACGGUAGCUAAUACCGCAUAACGUCGCAAGACCAAAGAGGGGGACCGUUAGGGCCUCUUGCCAUCGGAUGUGCCCAGAUGGGAUUAGCUAGUAGGUGGGGUAACGGCUCACCUAGGCGACGAUCCCUAGCUGGUCUGAGAGGAUGACCAGCCACACUGGAACUGAGACACGGUCCAG
rnacentral:rRNA from 1 species